CUUCUUCGCUACUUGUGUGAUGAAUAAUAAUAGGAAACUACUAGAUUAUGUCUCUAAAAUAAGACCAAGCUUCCCAUUGACUUGGUAAACUCAAUUUUAGAAGGGAGCUAUAGAGAGGAACAAAGAAUUGGCUUUUGAAAAGGUAAUUUAAAUAUAUUCUUAAACUGACAGGUUUUUGAAAAGACAGUUUUGGGUAUUUGUUUGUUUGUUGUUUUUAUAAAGAUUGACUACUUUCAAAAUGGCCUAAAUAAAGAAAGCAUUAUAGUUAAGCUGUGUGGGAGUGAGGAGGAGGAUGACAACGACAAGCUAAACCGGAAAUGCGAGCUGAUGAUGCACGGCCACUAAUAACCGACACCUCCUUCUGGACCUUGCCUAGGCCAUCUCAACAUUCACGGCUUAGUCACCCCUAAGUCACCCACUGAACCUGCAAAACUGUCUCCCCUUCAUUUUGAUGAGACAGGCUCCCACCAAGCAGCUGGCCCGAACUUGUUAUGCAGCCCAGGCUGGCUUAGAGUUUAAAAUCUUUCUGCUUCAGCCUCCAGAGUGCCGGGAACAAAGAGAAGAGAGAUGGGCACCUCCAUGCCCAGCUAAGCCGCAUUUCUUGAUACGAUCUAGACCUGUACGCCUACUACCUGGAUUCCACAGAAUGACUCAGGACCACAGCACAUCCCACAUCCUUCCCACCCCACACUCCUCCCCAGUAAUGAAUAUUAACCUACCCUCUACUGCGACACAUGCUUUGAUAAACUACACUGUCGUCAGCUCCACAUUCAACUCGGCGCGAUUCGUGCUGGCCCACUUUACUGUUUGAGCCUAUUUACUUCUUUUCUACGCCGUUACCUUGUUUCCCCAACCCUCCUCAGUUCGUGCACAAGGUUCUGUGACAGCUCUCGCUACAACUCUAUCAUCCAUCAGGAUCUCGGAGGCACCACUGCUCGGAGGCAAUCUGAUCGCGCCAUGUCUACACUCCAACAUCCUCGAACAGCUAGGCUUCAAGACAAAUUCCCAACCCUUAGAGCAGGUAUACAAAACUCCUCACAAACAGAUGGUAGUUUAGGCCUCCUUCCUCCUCUCUCGUCGUGUUUUGCCUCCAUUUUCUGUCCUUGGCUCAGCUCCAUAGAAGCGCUGGUCGUCUCACACAUGUUUUAAAGCCUUCCAGACCCAGGUGUCUUUGAGAACUGCAUUUCCUCCCCUAGGGAGGCCCUUUCUAAUUCUGACAAAGUGAAUCCUCCUCAUCCAGGUUAGACUAAGGUAUGCAGCACAUCAUCUAAAAUUCUUCUGAGUCCUCCACAGUGGGCUAAGUACUCCUAACGCGCCAUCAACUUAUCAGCAUGCCAGGCUUAGAUGAGAUGUUUUGUUUGUUUUGCUUUGUUUGUAACAGCAUCAAAACCUGGGUCUCGCACAUAGCAGGCACACUCUCCCCUCACUGAGCCAUAUCCACAACACCUCGGACUUUGCUUCUUAAAGUAUAUUUGCAUAAUGUCAGUGAUUCACGACAGUCUAUUUAAAAAAAAAUUCUAGGGGACAAGAUACACUGUCUUCAAAUUUUAGAGACUCACGAUGCACACUGGCCUGCCUCUCAAAGAAUGAGAAUUUCUGUACAUUUUCCCAAAUGUAUCUGAUAUCGCUGCUGCUACUUUCCUGUACAGGAAGUGCUGAUGUCAGAGAACAAACCGUUCCUAGGCAUUGACAACCUAAGUUAGGGCAUCGGAUUUCAAGGAGCCUGGCAGUACCACGAUAUUAUUUGAUUUUUGUAAAGAUAACAGCAUUAACUUAAAGCAAAUUGAAAACGUUUUCAAUGAAUAAAGUAAGCACAACACAGUUGCAUACGCUUGGAAUGCCAGCACUUGGGCAGGUAACACAGGAGGAUCGUGAGUUCAAAGCCAUCCUGGGCUUUAUAGCAAGACCCUGUCUCACACAAACAGACACACAGCCCAAACAACAACGUCUGCCAGCCCCCCCUCACCACCACCAGAGCGAUAAUAUUUAGCAUUUGAGAAACCCUGGGCUCAAACCUUUGCACCAAAAAAAGAGCAGCCAAACAAGACAAUUCAUCCACAAGCAGGCCUUGUAUUAAAGACAGACAUCUUUCCUGAACAUUUAGUCAACUGGAACAUUUCUCCUCAGGGAUAUAUUUGCUCUUGAGUCAUUGGAACCUGUUUGAGGAGCUCUCCAACUCUAUCAGUAAAUUGAUUCUCAAAAGAACUGGAGGGUUCUUGAAAUUCUACCAUCUCCACUUUUAUCUCUUAAGAUCUCUUUAAACUUUCUGAUAUUUGUUUGAAACCUUUUCUCUCAAUCUUUCUUUUUUCCAUUUUAUUUUAUGUGUUUAGGUGUUUUUUUCUGCGUGCCUGUGCACAUGCAUGCAGUACCCACAGAAGCCAGAAGAGGGCAUCAGAUUCCCUGGAGGUGGACAUAACAGCCAAUUAUAAGCCACCACGUGGGUGCUGGUAAUGGAACCUACGUCCUCCAGAAGAGGGAUUGACCACAGCAUCCACUGUGUGCAGUUCUUAGACACUGGGACCCACGGCCUGCUUGCGAAGAGAAGCCCCUUCCACACACCUUGCUUCCAUUGAGAAUCCAAUCACUCCCAGACUUCUUGGCAUUUGUUCUUACGCCCUGUAAGUCACUGUAAAGGAAAACAAAGGGCCCCUCUAUUAUGUAGCUCUGGCUGCCCUGGAACUUGCUUAUCAACCAGGCUGGCCUUGAACUCACAGAGAUUCACCUGCUUCUGGUUUAAAGGCAUACACCACACCCAGUAUGCUUCUGAGGAUUCGAACCCAGCGCCAUGUUGACUCACCUUCCGGCACCAGGCUCUGUCAUCGCUAUGGCACCGAUGCACUUGCCCGCCGUCAUCUGGGGGAUGAAGUGCUCAAU